rnacentral:lncRNA from 1 species
ACAUAGUUGUUAAGGAGGCUUGCAUAGAAAAAAAGGAAACCAAAAUAUUUAAGGACUGGUUUUAGCAUUAAUUACAUAAUUUAUAAAUUAUCUUACAUAGUUAUGAAUUCUGAACAAUUCUGAAGGGCCUAAUCCACUUAGCCCUUAACUCUGCUAACAUGCAGGUCUACUUAUCUAUAAAGAGAGGCAACAAUUUGAACAUUGCUAUGGACAUCUGUAGACAUCUUUCAGUGGGAAGCUGAAAAAUUUUCACUAUAGGAAGACAUUACCAUUUCUGGCAAUGGUCAGAUCACCAGAUUCCAGGGGGAGGUCAGGUCCAUGCUCUUUCUACUGCAUCCUGCUGACAAGAAGGGAAAGUGUGGGAACUGAUGGAGGUUCAGCAGGCUCUGUUGUCAGCCCAACAAAAGCACCAAAGAAGUUUCCUGGCUGACAUUUUACUACAUCAUCACGUACGGCGAACUGGAUUGUGAAUGCCCUUAGAUGCCAUUGGAAGGGAUUUAGAUUUCACUUUCUAAGUAGGCAAUGCGAGUCCAUUCAGAGAUUGUGAAGUGGAAGAAUAUCAUGAUCAGAUCUGUGUGGCUGAUGAAUAGAGACAAAUCUGAUGUCUGGGGUUAUAUUAUU